rnacentral:rRNA from 1 species
UACGUAGGGGGCAAGCGUUGUCCGGAUUUAUUGGGCGUAAAGAGCGUGUAGGCGGCCAGACAGGUCAGCUGUGAAAACUCGAGGCUCAACCUCGGGACGUCGGUUGAAACCGUCUGGCUAGAGUCCGGAAGAGGAGAGUGGAAUUCCACGUGUAGCGGUGAAAUGCGUAGAUAUGUGGAGGAACACCUGUGGCGAAGGCGCCUUGCUGGCCAAUUUCUGACGCUGAGGCGCGAAAGCGUGGGGAGCAAACAGG